CUUCCUCGAUAAUGGGCACGUCACCAACCGGGCUCUUCUGCUGCCUGUGGUCAGGGGAAAGGGUGGCAGCAGAGGCGAUUCUGUCCGCUACAGUUUAACCUAUAAUUAAGAAAUGUCUAAUAUUACUAGUUCAAGUUUGUAAAACCAUGAAUUAAAAACAUUGCUAUGUUUUACAUCGCACUGUAGAGAAUCCAGCUAACUGCUAGCUAACGUUAGCUGGCUAAUUAGCCAACUACUUCGUUAACUUACUUGUUAUCUAACGUUAUAUGCCUACCACAUAUUAGACACCCCUCGUAAAAAUAUUGAACCAGUAUUUAUUGUUAAAUACAAAUGAGUGGGCAAUAUGGCCUACGAUAACUCAAAUUCAACCAGAAACAUCAACCAGUCCCUGCAGGACUUGAUUAGCUAAGUUAGCUAUUUACACAAAGGAAAUUAACUAGCUAGCUAACUAAAGUGUGCCAGUCACGUCAACUAAAGUAGCUAGCUACAUGGCUAUUUCAGCCACACCCGUUGCUGACAGGUGUAUAAAAUCGAGCACAGAGCCAUGCAAUCUUCAUAGACAAACAUUGACAGUAGAAUGGCAUUACUGAAGAGCUCCGUGCUUUCAACAUGACACCGUUAUAGCAAGCCAUCUUUCCAAUAAAUCAGUUCAUCAAAUUCCUGCUCUGCUAAAGCUACCCGGUGAAACACCGCUUCCCAUUCAUUUUCAAUAAAAGGAAAGUGGAGAGGACGGGGACCCCGUGAAAAACUUAAAUCUUUCCCAACCUUAUGCAAAUGAUAGCGGCGGCCGCUGGGGGAUGACCAAUCAUAUCGAGUGGUUCCCAUGACGCUAUGCGACCCAACGCUGGAGACUUUCUUCAGCAAAGAUGGCUGACGAAAUACUAGGAUGGAAGCAAAUGGACUCCUGAAACAACCAGCAAACCAGGCUGUCGUCUUGUGAAACAGUGGAUGUAAAUAAUCUAGCUAGCUAAAGUAUUUACUGCAAAUUGAAUGUACAAUUUUGUAAGCUUGCCUUGCAGAUAUUUGCCAUGCAAUGCAGCUGAAGUAACGUAGCUAGCUAACUAUUUUCUUGUUUAUUGUGCAGUGGAGGAUAAAAAUAACUGUAUGCCUAUGGAUGUGUUGCUAGCUAUGUAGCCGAUCUGUGUAUCAGAACCUAGCUAUGAACAUCAGCUAUCAUAGCAGGUUGAAUCAACUUCAAAACAGUCUGAAUGACAUUAAUGAAGCCUAUGGAUUGAGUAGAAUAUAAUAUAACUUUGUGCCAAGGAUGCAAGUCGUAUAUACAUGUAGUUAUUACCAUGAAUGAGAUCCCCACAUUGUAGCCUGUAUAUUGAAUAUAUUCACUGAUCAUGUACUCUACCUUGGCAAAUAAAGGUGCAGUUCCGGUA